rnacentral:rRNA from 1 species
AGAGUUUGAUCCUGGUAGAAAGAACGSUGGCGGCGGGCCUAACACAUGCAAGUCGCACGARAAAGCCCCUGCUUGCAGGGGCGAGUAAAGUGGCGCACGGGUGAGUAACGCGUGGUUAAUCUACCCUUGGGUUUGGGAUAACGUCCCGAAAGGGGCGCUAAUACCGGAUAAGACCACGGUGUCCACGGGCACUGGGGUAAAAGUGGGCCUCUACAUGUAAGCUCAUGCCUGAGGAUGAGACCGCGUCCCAUUAGCUUGUUGGUGAGGUAACGGCUCACCAAGGCCGCGAUGGGUAGCUGAUCUGAGAGGAUGAUCAGCCACACUGGGACUGGAACACGGCCCAGACUCCUACGGGAGGCAGCAGUGAGGAAUCUUGCGCAAUGGGGGAAACCCUGACGCAGCCACGCCGCGUGGGUGAAGAAGGCCUUCGGGUUGUAAAGCCCUGUCAGGUGGGAAGAACCGCAGUCUGGCCAAUACCUGGACUGCUUGACGGUACCACCAAAGGAAGCACCGGCUAACUCCGUGCCAGCAGCCGCGGUAAUACGGAGGGUGCAAGCGUUGUUCGGAAUUACUGGGCGUAAAGCGCGUGUAGGCGGACCGGUAAGUUGGGAGUGAAAGCCCUGGGCUCAACCCAGGAAGUGCUUCCAAUACUGCCGGCCUUGAGUUCCGGAGAGGGUGGUGGAAUUCCCGGUGUAGAGGUGAAAUUCGUAGAUAUCGGGAGGAACACCAGUGGCGAAGGCGACCAACCUGGA